CCUGGCCAAAAAGAGACAAGAGAUGCUGCGCUCAGUCACCAGGUGGCACAGCAGGGGACACCCCCUCCCCACCCUCACCUGCCAAGGACACAGCUCUGCACACGCGGGCUCCCGAUGCGGAGCCCAGACACCGGUGUCCGCGCAGACACCUCUCACACGGGGCUCGGAGGGGCAGGAAGCUGGAGCGGAGCGAGCCCUUCCGAAGAGCCAGGAGCAGAACCCCCAGGUCAGUCCUGCCCCCCGCCCCCCGGAGCCGCUAGCCAGAUGAGGCUACCUCAAUUCAAGUGUGCGCUGAUUAAAGUGAAAUUAAUAAAUAAAAAGUGGCUCCAGCCACAGUUCUCGUGCUGAGCGGCCACAUCUGGCCCGGGGGCUCGUGGCUACCACGUCAGUCAGCACAGCUGGAGCGCACAUCCUUCACCAGGAAGGUGCCGUGGAACGGCGCGGUCCAGAGGAGCGGCGAGAAGGACUUCGCGCCCUGGAAGGGGAGGAGGAGGUAAGGGUGGGAGGGCCCCACCUCGGGCACGACCCAGCCCUUACCCAAGGACAGCCCGUUCCUCUUCUGCAGGACGUCCCUGUAGAAGUUCUGCUGCGCGUGGUCCAGCCGCCCCCACUCCUCCCGGGAGAGGUACAGGGCCACGUCCUCGAAGGUCACCGGCAUCUGCAACAACACAAAACGCCCACUCUCCAGGACACGCCAGGACCCCCCGGAGGGGCACCGUGGCUCCAAGAGGAAGGCGACCCGGCUCCCGACCGGCUGCCCCGAGUGAGCCCCGCCCUCGCGUCUGCUGGUGAAGCAGGACAGCCGCCGCCCGAGGGUGGCUUCGCGGGGGCAAGAACGAGGAGGCUGUGUACAACCCGGGAGACAGAAACAAGCGUCCCUUUCGGGCGCCGCAGCCGAAGCUCGGGGUCUCCACGCACGCUCCCCUGCAGCCCCCACCCCCCGGGCUGGCGCUCGCAUCCAGGGGACGAUGUGGUUCCUCCACAUCCCUCUGCUGUUCCUCCAGCCCUGGACUUGGACGGGGACACUCACCUGGGACCAGGCGGUGAGGAGCGCCGCAGCCAUCUGCCGGUCUCUGGUCCUCCCCUCACGAGAGAGCACAGGGAUCUGGGGGGAGGGGAGGGCUGAGAGAGGACAGAGGUGCUCAGGGCGGCUGCCUCGCCCCGCCUACCAGGGACACCCCCCCGCUGCCUCAAACUGCACCCCGACCUGACCCAGGAAGAGGGUCAGUAGCCUCUGUGCAGUCAGAGGCUCCGAGGCUGUGCGGGAGAGGCGUGUCGGGGGCAGGUGCGCACACGCGCAGGCCUCUCCGUGGCAGGAGAGCUCGUGCCCUCCCCGCCUCUGCACCAGACUCCACCUCUCCCCACAGCUGCCACCGAGAAGGGGCCCCUCUCCGCGCCCCUCUCCAUCCCUUUCCUCACCUCCUCCGGGCAGGAAAAGAGCUUUGUCCUUAGAGCCCUGGCUUAGGGACACCCAGCCCUGCUCUCCUCGGGCCCCGGCCCCCUGCGAUGCCCCCUCAGGCUGUGGCUCUUCCGGCUCCGUCUUGAUGUGGGGAGACUCCUGAGCAGCUCCCAAAGGCACCGUCUCCUCUGACUCAGAGAGCAUUUCUUGACGAGGAUGCCCAUGACCUGGAACCUAGGAAUGACAGCCCCCGUCAGCACCUGGGCAGAGAAUGGGAGACGCAGCCGAGCCCCACACCCGAGGGGCCUGGCAGCGGCCGACACCCAGGUGGCCAAACACACCCGAAUGCAACUAACUCACUGCUGGCCUUGCUUCCUUCUCCCGGCCCUGGGGCCCCGCACGUGCCUGGUUCGCCCCCACAAGGCCGGGACAGCACGGGAAGGAAGGGAGGCUCGAGGCCGGGCCAGGGGCGGGCUGGCCAGGUGCCCACAGAGCAGGUGUCUCCUCCCCGUUCCAGCCUCGUACCUCCCACAGCAGUGUGGACGGUUCCUCUUUCAUGUUAGAGGACACCAAGUGCGGUGGGCUGAAUGGUGUCCCCCAAAUUUCCCGUCUGCUUGGAACCUCACAAUGUGACCUUAUUUGGAAAAAAAAGGUCUCUGCUGAUGUAAUCAGUAAAGGAUCUUGAGAUGAAAUCAUUCUGCAUUUAGACUGGGCCCUAGAUCCAACGACCAGUGUCCUUAGAAUGAAUUCUAGUUGUUUUAUGCCACCCAGUUUGUUACACAGACAUAGGAAACGAACACACCCAGGCUCAGAGAUCGACCAUGACCCAAGAUUACAGAGCCUGUGAAUUCUCAGCCAGCACUUGAACUCCAGGUGUAUCUGAUUCACAAGUCAGCCCCAGGGCCACCAUUUCCUGAAUAUGACAGGGAGGUAUCAUGUAGCCCUGGGCCAUUUCCAGCCUGACUCAAUUCGGUCACGGAAGUUGGAGGUUUUUUAGUUUGGAGAAACAAGUCCAAGGGUACCUCUAACUGUGCCGAGGCCUGUGCCCACCUUCAUCUGACAGAAGGAGACCUCCUCCCGGCUCACCCCUGCAGCACCACCCACCGCAACUCGUCCAGGGUUCUCCAGGGUCCUCCUAACUCGUCCCUUCUUCACAUCAACCUCGGGUGGGAAGGUCAGGCAACCGGGGCUUGAUCCAGACCAGCCCCUCGCUCGCCGCUCAACCCUGAGUGGGCACCGCCUUCCCACAAACCUCAAGAGCUUUGGGAAAGUCACUUCCUUUGCAUUGGGAGGCUUCUCGUGAGGCCUCAUCAUCACCCACAGCACAGGGACUGGCCAGGCUUCUGCUGAGAACUCAGACUUCUCUCUCCACACCGCCCCCACGUCUGUGUAUGUCAGAGCCCCAAAGGGAAGACCCUCAGGCCAGGAGUUGGAGGGCCUGGGAGCCACACGAGCCGGGCAGCCUCCAAAACUCAGCUACUCUGCCUCACGCACAGAUCCCCUGUGAGAAAGAGCUGCCUGCUCUGGAACAUUCUGGAUAAACACAGAGCGGUGCCAGAAAUAAUUACUAUAACUGUACUGUGCGAGUUGACAGAAUCCAGCAGGAGAGAAUGUCAGGGGCGUGCGAAGCCCACUGGGUGUUACAAAGGCAUCGUGGAAGCGAAAGCACGCAGUGUUGACACGUCUUUGUACCUUCUACUGUACGAAAGUGCGAGACGUAACGCCGAUGGUCCCUGACUCUCAAUGGCUCAACUUAACAAGCUUUCGACUUUAUGGUGGUACAGAAGCGGCACACGUUGGGUAGAAACCACACUUCGAAGUCUGAAUUUGCCCUUCCCUGGGCUAGCGAUGUGUACCACGGUCCUCGCUCAGGACGCCAGGCGGCAGGAGACAUGGCUUCCGGUCAGCCGCGUGGUCACGAGCGUAAAUGGCCACAAACUGGUGGCCAUUCUGUCUUCCUCCUUCAGCACGGUGUUCAGUACAUCACGUGAGAUACUCAGCACUAAAUUACGAGGUCGGCUUUAUGUUAGGUGGUUUUACCCAACGUAGGCUGCUCUGAGUGUUCUGAGCACGUUUAAGGCAGGUGAGAUUAGGCUCUGAUGCUCAGUAGAGCAUGUACUAAAUGCAUUUUCCACUUAAUAUUUUCAGCUUACAGCGGGUUUAUCAGGAUGUAAACCCAUGGUGAGCUGAGGGAGAUCUGCUCUUGAUUUGUGCUUGUCCUUACACCUGCUCGUUGAGGCGAUCUGUUUCUCUGAUCUAGGUUCUGGUUGCUGUGGGUGUUGUUAUUGCAUAUGUGACAAUAGCGAUCUGGAUGAGACAGGUGGCAGCAGCAGGCAGGCACAGGGUAUACAUUUUAUAGACGACACACCUGGUUCCCAGAAGCCAGGGGACUUGCCCAAGGUCACACACCUGGCUGCAGCUGACUCAUAUUCCUUUGAUUCCAAGCUCAGGGGCCCAGGUCCUCCCGGAGGGUGUAAUUACACACAUGGGCAACAGGUACAGGAAGGAGACAAGGAGCUCAGACCCAGGGAGAGAGGAGAUGGGGUGCUAGGCAGGAGGGAGCAGAGGGUAAACCGAGGCUCCCCCACGUGCGCUGGGCACAACCUCACCAGUAGGACCCCCACGCAGGAUCCCCGCUAUUUCAUGUAGCCUUUGGCCGACAGACUCCUGAACUCAGCAGGCAGAGCCGAGCAGCUCUCUGGCUGUCAAUUCCCAGUGCAAGAACUUUCCGGUCAUAGCACCAACUCCUCCCAUCACCCCCAUCCGCCCCAGUGAGUCUAAGUCUUCCACUGGCGUAGACACCCUACCUUGAAAACCCCCUCCCGCUCCAAUCCCUUCCAGGGCAUGCAUCCCUCGCCCAGCGCCCCGUCCAUACCUCUCGGGCUCUCUCCUUGUCCUGGGUAGCCUGGGCGGCUCUGCUGUCUGCGGACAUUUCUAUCUCAGAGGUAGAAAGCACAACUCCGUCGUUUCUCCUUCUUAUUGGCCAAGCCCCCUCCAGCUUCUGGCCAGGAGCCUACCAGAGCAGAAAUGUAAGUCAGCCAUCGUCUCCUGGACACCUCCAAAGCACCCUGGAAAUCCCCACGCAAGCCCAGAGCCACGCUUGGUCCCAAUCAGAAAUAAAGCCUCCCCAGAUGCCCUCCGGUGACGUCA